UACGUAGGGGGCAAGCGUUGUCCGGAAUCAUUGGGCGUAAAGAGCGUGUAGGCGGCUCGGUAAGUCCGCUGUGAAAGUCCAGGGCUCAACCCUGGAAUGCCGGUGGAAACUGUCGAGCUAGAGUCCGGAAGAGGCGAGUGGAAUUCCUGGUGUAGCGGUGAAAUGCGCAGAUAUCAGGAGGAACACCAAUGGCGAAGGCAGCUCGCUGGGACGGUAACUGACGCUGAGGCACGAAAGCGUGGGUAGCAAACAGG
rnacentral:rRNA from 1 species